GCCUGGUGCUCUUGAAGUACUCUAAUGCUUUUGUUGUUGUGUCUCUUACUUGCUCCAGAUUGGGUAUCAGCAGAGUAGCAUUGAUAUAGGGUUUGUAUCUAGCUAGUUUCUCUGCCUCAUCAAGUGAAUGAACAUGAGACUUGUGGAUCCCAUUUAACAGUUUAGCUUCUCGAUCAUAGGAAUUUGCAAGUACUGAAAUCAUUCUGCGCAAAAU
rnacentral:misc_RNA from 1 species